ensembl:sense_intronic Gm28320 predicted gene 28320
AAUUUUGAGCCCUGAAAUAGCAUAGUUCGUUCACUGCUGCAUGUGACAUUUUAAAAACCUGAGCAAACAGUAUUAUUCUUAGGAAAGAAAAGCUUUUUCUCACUAGAUUCAGCAUUUAGAAACAAUAUUGAAUUGAUUUGAAUCAGAAAAUUGUCUCUGAGAACCUGAAAUGAAUAUAAACAUUAGGCAGAUGAUCUCACCUCUUGCUUCCUGCCUUAGUCCUGUUUUGCUUCCUUUGAGUGGUUCUUAAUAUUCAUUCAAAGUGUGCAUGUGUGCAGAUGCAUCCCAAAGCCACAGUGUUUUCCUGCUCUUGUCAGAGCCCAAGCCCGUUACACUCCAUACUGCAGGCAGUGCAAGCUCUCAUGCCCUGGGUGGAGCCCUUCAGUAAGAAGCCAGAUCUGAUCAGGCACCAGGCACAGCUGUUUCGUGUGUCAAGACCAUGAGUAUUUUUUACUUCUGUGUCUGUGCCUAGCAAACAAACACGAUACUUUUAGAUGUAUAACGCUCUCCUGGUCUUGCCCUUCAGGCAGGAGUCUCACAUUCCAUGGAAUGACAAAGGUUCACAUCCCUUUUUGCCCUAGGUGGAAAACAUAAAAGACUAAGAUGCAUCAUUAAUCAUGCAGACUGUCUGCAGCAACACUGCCAAGAAAAUGAUCAUCCUCGUACAACCCAUCAAUAUCCCUGACACCUGUCUAAGAGCUCAGGUCAUGCAUAUCCGUCUGCCUUUAGAGAAGUGUCAAUGUGCAAACAUUGCUUCACUAUUUUUAGGGUCACGUUAACAUUAUUCAUCACCUACCUGUCAGUUCAUCCAAUUUGUCAUGUUGUGCGGACCUACCAGUGACUGUUGCUGGCCAUCUUUUCUUACGUUGUGGUUUUUAGAGCAUGAGAGCAGAAGAUGUUUGGAAAUUGUCAGAAGUGUGCAAGACAGCAACCAGAGUUUCCCCCAAGGAAUUACUAUGGCUCAUGUUUAAGAAAAAAAAAAAAAAGCAGACAUUCGAGGUCCCUGUGGCCUUCCAAAAUUUCUGCUUCUGUCUGAUUUCUUGUCCAAUGAGUUGUAUUUUUAAUCAAUUUUAUUAUAAAGCUCACAGCAUGAUUCCAGGAGGUUAAAUCACGGCUCACAAAUGAAACAAACCUUCAGAAAUUAGGAGGUCAAAGAUUGGUGUCCUGAUUUAAAAAAAAAAAAAAAAAAAAAAAAAAAAAAAAAAAGCAAAAACAAAAAAAAAAACAAGCUGUCAGUUCUGAAUACCUAGAAACAUACUAUACACAAGUCAAAAUUUUAAGUACAAAGGCUGAUAAAAAUUCUGAUGCUGCACCAGGAGCUCAUGAUGGUUUGUCUCAACUGUCACUCAGCACAACUGCCACAGCUCCUGAAACAGCUUAGCAAAUACAUUCCGAUCUCUGAGCAGCGAAGGCAUUUCACCAUAGGUGGGAAAAUUCCAGAACUAGGAAUUAACACAUCUGCGCUUUGAGCCACUGCCCUGCAGUGAUGCUCAGGGGAACUGUGGGAGAUCUUGCCUUGGAUGUUUGGCUCCAUGAGUCUUAGGUUUUUUUUUUUUUUUUAUCAGCAAUGUGUAGAUAUCAAAAGAUCUCCAAUAUUUGUUUCAGGAGUCUAUCUUCCUAUUGCUAUGUAAAUUCGUGACAGAUAUAAAGCCACAGAAUGAAAUGUUCUGUCUUUAAAUAAUUGUGACCUUCUCUGAGAUGUGCAUGAAGAUGCUGGAAUCAGGAAAGUAAUUGGAACAAACAGCCCUGUUGCUGGCCUGAGCUCACCAAAGUGAUAAGCUCAAAGCCUGGAAGAGUACCAGCUCUUUUCAGCUACUACCAAGUGGAGUGAGUUUAGCUGCGACACCCAUGAAGUAAGCUGGCUAUUUUGUAGCUGUUGAUGUCUAGGACUAGGAAGUAACAGAUAUAACAACAUAACCCAAGAGCUACAAAAUCUGCUCAUAUGGAAGAUAAAUGCCUUAAAGAAAGUGUAACUUUGUUAGCUAUUUGUAUUCAUGAGAACAUUAGAGAAUGUUUUAAACCAGUUCUAGCAAUUGAACCCAGGUCUAUGUGUGUCUACAAUUACACCUCUGGGCCCUCAUUAGUGAGGAUCUUAUGAGGAUUGUUCAGUUUAUCAUUAAGACUGAAAAUAUUUGCUUUGCCUUUAUAAAAAUAAGAAUGUCCAGGAAGAGAUGAUGAUGCCUAAGCCUCUUGUUACCUUCAAAUUCAGAAUCUCAUACAACACUAAUAAAUACUUAUACUAAAUCAUAAUUAUGCAGAUGGUUUCUCUGACAUAUAAAAAA